UACCGAGGGGGCAAGCGUUGUUCGGAAUUACUGGGCGUAAAGGGCGCGUAGGCGGCCUUCUAAGUCGAACGUGAAAUCCCCGGGCUCAACCCGGGAACUGCGUCCGAUACUGGAAGGCUUGAAUCCGGGAGAGGGAUGCGGAAUUCCAGGUGUAGCGGUGAAAUGCGUAGAUAUCUGGAGGAACACCGGUGGCGAAGGCGGCAUCCUGGACCGGUAUUGACGCUGAGGCGCGAAAGCCAGGGGAGCAAACGGG
rnacentral:rRNA from 1 species